rnacentral:rRNA from 1 species
AUUGAACGCUGGCGGUAUGCUUAACACAUGCAAGUCGAGCGUGAUUCUUAGGAGUGGAGACUUCGGUUGAAGCGAAUAAGAUGAAAGCGGCGGACGGGUGAGUAACGCGUGGGCAACCUGCCCCAUACAGCCGGAUAGCCACUGGAAACGGUGAUUAAUACGGCAUAAGACCACAGUACCACAUGGUACAGCGGCCAAAGAUUUAUCGGUAUGGGAUGGGCCCGCGUCUGAUUAGCUAGUUGGUGAGGUAACGGCUCACCAAGGCGAUGAUCAGUAACUGGUGUGAGAGCACGACCAGUCACACGGGCACUGAGACACGGGCCCGACUCCUACGGGAGGCAGCAGUAAGGAAUAUUGGUCAAUGGAGGCAACUCUGAACCAGCCAUGCCGCGUGGAGGAUGAAGGUCCUCUGGAUUGUAAACUUCUUUUAUAUGGGACAAAAAGGCUUUUCUAAGUCGUCUGACGGU